AGUGAACGCUGGCGGUAGGCCUAACACAUGCAAGUCGAACGGCAGCACAGUAAUAGCUUGCUCUUACGGGUGGCGAGUGGCGGACGGGUGAGGAAUACAUCGGAAUCUACUUUUUCGUGGGGGAUAACGUAGGGAAACUUACGCUAAUACCGCAUACGACCUACGGGUGAAAGCAGGGGAUCUUCGGACCUUGCGCGAUUGAAUGAGCCGAUGUCGGAUUAGCUAGUUGGCGGGGUAAAGGCCCACCAAGGCGACGAUCCGUAGCUGGUCUGAGAGGAUGAUCAGCCACACUGGAACUGAGACACGGUCCAGACUCCUACGGGAGGCAGCAGUGGGGAAUAUUGGAAAAUGGGCGCAAGCCUGAUCCAGCCAUACCGCGUGGGUGAAGAAGGCCUUCGGGUUGUAAAGCCCUUUUGUUGGGAAAGAAAAGCAGCAGGUUAAUACCCCGCUGUUCUGACGGUACCCAAAGAAUAAGCACCGGCUAACUUCGUG
rnacentral:rRNA from 1 species